GACGAACGCUGGCGGCGCGCCUAACACAUGCAAGUCGAACGGAGCUUUGAGAGCUUGCUUUUAAAGCUUAGUGGCGAACGGGUGAGUAACGCGUGAGUAACCUGCCCUGGAGUGGGGGACAACAGUUGGAAACGACUGCUAAUACCGCAUAAGACCACGAACCGGCAUCGGAAAGGGGUCAAAGGAGGAAUCCGCUUUGGGAGGGGUUCGCGUCCCAUUAGGUAGUUGGUGAGGUAACGGCCCACCAAGCCGACGAUGGGUAGCCGAGCUGAGAGGCUGAUCGGCCACACUGGAACUGAGACACGGUCCAG
rnacentral:rRNA from 1 species